CGGCAGCCCGAGUGGUGAUCACUAUUAUUGGGUCUAAAGGGUCCGUAGCCGGUUUGAUCAGUCUUUUGGGAAAUCUGACAGCUUAACUGUUAGGCUUCCAAAGGAUACUGUCAGACUUGGGACCGGGAGAGGUAAGGGGUACUACAGGGGUAGGAGUGAAAUCUUGUAAUCCCUGUGGGACCACCAGUGGCGAAGGCGUCUUACCAGAACGGGUCCGACGGUGAGGGACGAAAGCUGGGGGCACGAACCGGAUUAGAUACCCGAGUAGUCC
rnacentral:rRNA from 1 species